GACGAACGCUGGCGGCGUGCUUAACACAUGCAAGUCGAGCGGUAAGGCCCUUUCGGGGGUACACGAGCGGCGAACGGGUGAGUAACACGUGGGUGACCUGCCCUCAGCUCUGGGAUAAGCCUGGGAAACCGGGUCUAAUACCGGAUAUGACUCCAUGACGCAUGUUGUGGGGUGGAAAGCCUUGUGCGGCUGAGGAUGGGCCCGCGGCCUAUCAGCUUGUUGGUGGGGUGAUGGCCUACCAAGGCGACGACGGGUAGCCGGCCUGAGAGGGCGACCGGCCACACUGGGACUGAGACACGGCCCAGACUCCUACGGGAGGCAGCAGUCGGGAAUUUUGCGCAACGGACGAAAGUCUGACGCAGCAACGCCGCGUGAGGGAUGACGGCCUCGGUUGUAAC
rnacentral:rRNA from 1 species